GACGUAGGGUGCGAGCGUUGUCCGGAUUUAUUGGGCGUAAAGAGCUCGUAGGCGGCUCGUCGCGUCGACCGUGAAAACCAGCAGCUCAACUGUUGGCUUGCGGUUGAUACGGGUGGGCUGGAGUUCGGUAGGGGAGACUGGAAUUCCUGGUGUAGCGGUGAAAUGCGCAGAUAUCAGGAGGAACACCGGUGGGCCGAAGGCGGGGUCUCUGGGCCGAUACUGACGCUGGAGGAGCGAAAGCGUGGGGAGCGAACAGG
rnacentral:rRNA from 1 species